rnacentral:tRNA from 14 species
GGCCCCUUGGUCAAGCGGUUAAGACACCGCCCUUUCACGGCGGUAACAGGGGUUCGAGUCCCCUAGGGGUCACCA